CAAGGUCACCAAGCAAACCAGCAGGAGAGCCAGGAGCAGAACCUAGAGCAUGGGAGUUCCAUUCAUGUGCCCUAUCCACUAGCCACACUGACUCCCCCACACAGACACCAGUAUUUUCAAAUGAAUUCUUAGAAUGUGCAUCAAUUCCAGGCCAAAAGAAACUGAUGCAACAGGGAAACUAGUAUGUUUUGGUAAUUGCAUAAUAGCCAGUUCCCUGUUUCAUGAAUAUGUCAUGGAUUGGAAUAUCUUGAAGAACAGGGCAAUUUUUCUUCUUUAGGCAUUUUUUUUAAAAUGGUGCUAAAAUGCAUGGGAAAUGGAAAGAAAUGUUCAUUUAAUGUCAUAUUGAAACAAGUUAGGAAAUAAACCUUCUGGCUCAUUCAAAAAAAAAAAAAAAGAAAGAAAAAAAGAGGAACUUAGCAGUUUUAAGACAUGGCAUUGCUCAAUCUUAAAACUGCAAACUUUUCAUUUAGGUUAAGACCAAAGCUGUGAUUCUGCCUCCAUCUGUGUAAUACUGCAUUGUGGUUAUAUUAAGCUUGUGCAAAUUGAACAAAACCUUCACUAUAGUCAUCUUUAUUAGGCUGUUUCCAGAAAGAAAUACAAACCAACACUCUCACCAGUUUAUAUAGUGACCUUCACAACAAUGUCACAGGGGUAUGCAGCUAGACAUAUCAGCACCACUCAGGAACAGCUGAAUGUACAGUACUGUUUUUUUAACCUUCUCUUUACAUCCCAAGACAGAUUAGGCACCCUGAAUAACAGUAGGUAGAAAACUCUAGAGCUAAAACCCAGAGUUAAAAAUGCACAUAGACUAUUAUUGCAGCAAGCUGCUGAUUCUGAUCCUAAUGGUUAACUUUAAAUCUGCCUGAAACAACUUAUUUAAGAUCUCUCUCUUUUUCUUAAACUGCACAUUCUCCCUCCCCAAUGGUUCGGUAAAAAGUUAACAUUUCUAUAGUUGCCACCUGUAUUACAACACUGCCAUUUUGGUCUUCACAGAACCACAGAAUUGGAAGGGACCUCAGGAGGUCUUCUAGUCCAAUCCCAUGCUCAAAGCAGAUCAAUCCCCAAUUUUUGCCCCAGAUCCCUAAAUGGCCCCCUCAAGGAUUGAACUCACAAGCCUGGGGUUUAGCAUGCCAAUGCUCAAACCACUGAGCUAUCCCUCCCCUACCAGUCUCUGCAGGUGCAGGGCAAGUUGACUGUGCUUGAGUGUUUCUGUGGAGCCUACGAUUUGGCUCAAGUAAGGUUCAAUACUAGGCCUAGUCUUGCAAAAUCUCAAGGCCCUCCUAUACCAGUUCUCCUACUCUCCAGACUGCAGGAUUAAAAAAGGGGAGAGUAAUGAGUGGAGAAAGAGCCUGAUCCUUCACAGAAAAGGUGCAGAGCAUUGUGUGUGCAUACGAGCACAGGCAAGAAGAACUGAUGAGCAAGAAAGGGGUGCAGGGGAAGCUAAUGCUGCAUUAAUCAGAGAUCAGCUAUAGUUACUCCUGCGUAGAAAUAGAAUUAAAACCAAAAAGGGGAACACAUUGCUAAAUCCCAUGGGAUUUUAAGCAGUCCCAAUCAUGCCAAUGAGCCAGCUAGCGAUGUGCUCCCAUUUUACUCUAACUUCUGUAGUGUGCAGGAGUAAAAUUGCAGCUACUUUUUUGUUAAUGCACCACUGUAUUCCCUUGCACUCCCUGCCCGAGUCGUCAGUUCUUGCUUGUGCUUAUACACACUGAGAGUGAACUAAAAAAAAGGAAAGAAAAGGCCACACCCUCCAGUGUAUCAGCAUUUCACAACAGGUGGCCCAGUGCUGAUAUCAAGUGAGGCAUGACUGGCUUGUCAACACUCCUUCCAAAUCAGUAACCAAGGCACCAAAAUAAAGUCUUACAACCCCGUAUUGAGGCUAGGUCAAUAAGGCAUCAGUGUCACUGGGCCUCCCUGGUUUGUACAGAUUUAAGCUGAUUACUUCUCAAGCUACUUGCAGUGGACAUGGACAACAAUUGAUCACAGUCCUCUUUAUAACAGCCCUUAACAUAUUUGAAGACUGUUAUCAGAUUCCUCACCCCCCUCAGUCUUUGCGCAAGAUUAAAUGUACCCAGGUUUUUUAACCUUUCUUCAAAGGUUUCCCUAAGGAGGAGCUACCAGAGAGAAAGCUGAAGAGAAGAUUAGGAGGCAGGCUGGCCAUCUGAAAAGGAAAAGCAGCUGUAGAAAGACCAGGAAGGAUGCUGAUUCAGAGUGGGGAGCAGGUGGGUAAAAUGAGGGAAGUGGUAAAGAGAGUGCGCAGGGUCUGGAAAAUGUCUUCAUAAACCACGGCCCAGAUACUACACUUAUGAAGGUGAGUAACUUCAGUAGGACUACUCACAUGCAUGACAUUACUCAGUCAGUGUUU